GGGUGAUCUGGCUGCGACAUCUGUCACCCCAUUGAUCGCCAGGGUUGCUUCAGCUGAUCUGGCUGCCUGAUCCACGUGCACCCCUCCCGAAGCUGUGCGCUUGCUCAAAGGGGACCACCUUCCCCUCAGAGGAGAGGACCGGUCUCGGGUCAAGGGUAUACGAGUAGCUGUGCUCCCUGCUAGGAUCUCCCAACAAGCUCUCAUAUUCUACACCUGCCGCAGCAAACAGUUCUGCUGGCUCCGAGCACUUCCUGCAACCUGCA
rfam:Myotis lucifugus cont2.29515, whole genome shotgun sequence.